ACCGGCGCACGGGUGAGUAACGCGUAUGCAACCUACCUUUUACAGGGGAAUAGCCCAGAGAAAUUUGGAUUAAUGCCCCUAGGUUUAUAGAUAUGGCAUCGUAUUUAUAAUAAAGAUUUAUCGGUAAAAGAUGGGCAUGCGUAUCAUUAGCUAGUUGGUGUGGUAACGGCAUACCAAGGCGACGAUGAUUAGGGGUCCUGAGAGGGAGAUCCCCCACACUGGUACUGAGACACGGACCAGACUCCUACGGGAGGCAGCAGUGAGGAAUAUUGGUCAAUGGAGGCAACUCUGAACCAGCCAUGCCGCGUGCAGGAUGACGGUCCUAUGGAUUGUAAACUGCUUUUGUACGGGAAGAAAUGUAUUUACGUGUAGAUAUUUGACGGUACCGUAAGAAUAAGGAUCGGCUAACUCCGUGCCAGCAGCCGCGGUAAUACGGAGGAUCCAAGCGUUAUCCGGAAUCAUUGGGUUUAAAGGGUUCGUAGGCGGUUUAAUAAGUCAGUGGUGAAAUCUUGCAGCUUAACUGUAAAAUGGCCAUUGAUACUGUUAGACUUGAAUUGUAUGGAAGUAACUAGAAUAUGUAGUGUAGCGGUGAAAUGCUUAGAUAUUACAUAGAAUACCAAUUGCGAAGGCAGGUUACUACAUACAUAUUGACGCUGAUGAACGAAAGCGUGGGGAGCGAACAGGAUUAGAUACCCUGGUAGUCCACGCCGUAAACGAUGGAUACUAGCUGUUUGGUUUUCGGACUGAGUGGCUAAGCGAAAGUGAUAAGUAUCCCACCUGGGGAGUACGUUCGCAAGAAUGAAACUCAAAGGAAUUGACGGGGGCCCGCACAAGCGGUGGAGCAUGUGGUUUAAUUCGAUGAUACGCGAGGAACCUUACCAGGGCUUAAAUGUAGAUUGACAGGUUUGGAAACAGACUUUUCUUCGGACAAUUUACAAGGUGCUGCAUGGUUGUCGUCAGCUCGUGCCGUGAGGUGUCAGGUUAAGUCCUAUAACGAGCGCAACCCCUAUUGUUAGUUGCCAGCGAGUCAUGUCGGGAACUCUAGCAAGACUGCCGGUGCAAACCGAGAGGAAGGUGGGGAUGACGUCAAAUCAUCACGGCCCUUACGUCCUGGGCUACACACGUGCUACAAUGGUCAGUACAGAAAGCAGCUACCUGGCGACAGGAUGCGAAUCUCAAAAGCUGAUCACAGUUCGGAUUGGAGUCUGCAACUCGACUCCAUGAAGCUGGAAUCGCUAGUAAUCGGAUAUCAGCCAUGAUCUAGAGAAUACGCUCCCGGGCCUUGUACACACCGCCCGUCAAGCCAUGGAAGCUGGGGGUACCAGAAGUCGGUCACC
rnacentral:rRNA from 1 species